UCCCCGGUGGUCGAGUGGCUAAGACUCUGCACUCCCAAUGCAGGAGACUUGGGUUUGACCCCUGGUCAGAGAA
rfam:Ovis aries breed Texel chromosome 6, whole genome shotgun sequence.